GAAGUAGUAGGGUGAUGUCAACAGUGAUUAACUUGACCCUACAAGGCUGACAACCAGCGAGAUUAAAGGUCCACACCAUAGAAGGAAGUGAGACAGCUCGUUUCCUACUGUAUGCUGCCUACUACACUUAGAAAUACCAUUUUGGUGUACAUCCUAAUGGUCAUGUUACGAGCUCUGCUACAUGUUCCCACGAACACAGUGCCACUCUACGUAUCUCCCCACUACUGAUGAAUGGGCUGAGACAUGCUGAAACCAGGAACGACAGUCCUUUUAUGAGAUGAAUAAGACUUCAGAGAAUUAUGAAGUUGAAACCACAACGUGGAAGACACCUGGGGUUGACAAACGAGUCAUUGGAGACGCGCUUCCUAGGAGAGCUGUGUGACCAGGAACACCUAGAGUAGUGUAUUUGCUUUGUUAAAGAGUGACUUGUAUGAGAGAGAAAUCUAUUUUC
rnacentral:lncRNA from 1 species